GAUGAACGCUAGCGGGAGGCUUAACACAUGCAAGUCGAGGGGCAGCACGAGUCCGCCGCAAGGCGGAUUUGGUGGCGACCGGCGCACGGGUGAGUAACGCGUAUGCAACCUACCCUGUACUGGGGGAUAACCCGGAGAAAUUCGGACUAAUACCCCAUAGAGAUAUAGAGAGGCAUCUUGAAAUAUUUAAAGUUUCGACGGUACGGGAUGGGCAUGCGUAACAUUAGCUAGUUGGUAAGGUAACGGCUUACCAAGGCUUUGAUGUUUAGGGGUCCUGAGAGGGUGAUCCCCCACACUGGUACUGAGACACGGACCAGACUCCUACGGGAGGCUG
rnacentral:rRNA from 1 species